UAAUUUAUGUUCGUUGAUCUUUUUCAAUUCAUCCGAUCCGACGGUCGAAAAUUAAAAAGGUGUGUGAGAAGUAAAAUGGGGUGUGUGGAUAUCACACCCCUAAGUCAAAUUGAGAAUCAAAUACAACUCUUGCUACCAAAUUUUUGGUGCAUUAGAAAUAGCCUCAUGCAUAUUAUAUCACACAAAUAAUAGCAAAUUGUUUCACAAAUCUUUAUGUGUGCUUAACUAAAAUCUAAGUAUGUAUUAAACAAAGAUUCUAAUUUUAUUUCAUCAAAGAUUCUAAUUUUAUUUCACCGGCCAUCCCUCACCACCUAGACUAUGGCUCAUCAUUCAACUAUGAAAUUUUUAAAUUUAAGAUCUGCCUUGUAAUUAUUUCCUUUUGAGAUAUCAUUUUCACUUUAUUGAAAAUUAAAACUUAUCUAAUAACUGUUCAGUUAUCAAAAGAAAAAAAAAUUAAAAUCAAGCCAAAUUUUCUCUCUCUAAAAUAAAUUUCAAGCUUUUGUUUUCGUUUUCAUCUUUUUAUGGUCUAUUUUCUCAGUCACCAAUUCGGUAAACAUGGAUCGCUCUGUAGUCUCAAAACCCAACUAUUUAGAACCAUGUGACUUAGUGACUCUGCGGCUUGACUAUUGCAAUUAAUUAUGAUCCAAUAAGAGCUCAGGAUUUAGCCCUGACAAACAUGUCAUAUUUGUCGUGUUCGUAUUAUUUUUGUAUAAUACCCGUUAUUUUGAUAGAUUAUGUCACGUCAAGCCCAUUGUCUUAACAUGUUCUUAAUAGGUGGCCGGAUAAUGGACCGACUCGUUGAUGGGUGUCAUUUCGUAUCAGUUUAGUGGGUUAUACAAUAAAUUGCCGUGCAUAUUGUCUAGACCUGACAAAUAGUUUGUGUUUGUGUUGUUUAUGCUUUAUACCGUUAUUUUAGCUUAACGGGUUGUUAAUUAACUUGUGAACUAUAACGACCCGAAAUGAUAACGAAUGACCAAAUAAUAAUCCAAAAUGUUACCGGAAGACCGAAUAACGACUUGACUUAUUAACGAGUCAACUCGAAACUUAUUGUUUUUUAUUAUUUCUCGUCCGAUUGACUGGUCAUGCAACAAAUUGACAAGCCUACCUAGACUUUCAGACAGGCCUCGAGAGUCGAGACCUAACGACUCAAAAUUCAUUAACAAAAUACUCCAGACUCAUUAUGACAUGCCCUUUCAUUCUAUGUCCUCACAUUUACAAUUUUAACUUAAAUAAAAAACAUCAUUUCCAACUUUCUUACAAAACGAAAACUAAAACCAGUUUUUUAUUUUUUAUUUUUAAUUUUAAAAUAUCAAACAAGUUUCUGCUUUUUAUAUAUGAGCAAAAGAAAAUUAGAAAGUAAAAAAAAAAUAGUUAUCAAACAAGUUCUUGGUGUUUUUUUUUUUUUUUUUUUUUUGGAUGAUGAAAGUAGAUGACCCCCAAAUUUUUUGAAGAGAAAAACAC
rnacentral:lncRNA from 1 species